rnacentral:rRNA from 1 species
UUAAGCGACUAAGCGUACACGGUGGAUGCCCUGGCAGUCAGAGGCGAUGAAGGGCGUGCUAAUCUGCGAUAAGCGCCGGUAAGGUGAUAUGAACCGUUAUAACCGGCGAUACCCGAAUGGGGAAACCCAGUGUGACUCGUCACACUAUCAUUAACUGAAUCCAUAGGUUAAUGAGGCGAACCGGGGGAACUGAAACAUCUAAGUACCCCGAGGAAAAGAAAUCAACCGAGAUUCCCCCAGUAGCGGCGAGCGAACGGGGAGGAGCCCAGAGCCUGAAUCAGCAUGUGUGUUAGUGGAAGCGUCUGGAAAGGCGCGCGAUACAGGGUGACAGCCCCGUACACAAAAGCGCAUGUGCUGUGAGCUCGAUGAGUAGGGCGGGACACGUGGUAUCCUGUCUGAAUAUGGGGGGACCAUCCUCCAAGGCUAAAUACUCCUGACUGACCGAUAGUGAACCAGUACCGUGAGGGAAAGGCGAAAAGAACCCCGGCGAGGGGAGUGAAAAAGAACCUGAAACCGUGUACGUACAAGCAGUGGGAGCACCCUUUGGGGUGUGACUGCGUACCUUUUGUAUAAUGGGUCAGCGACUUAUAUUCUGUAGCAAGGUUAACCGUAUAGGGGAGCCGGAGGGAAACCGAGUCUUAAUUGGGCGUUAAGUUGCAGGGUAUAGACCCGAAACCCGGUGAUCUAGCCAUGGGCAGGUUGAAGGUUGGGUAACACUAACUGGAGGACCGAACCGACUAAUGUUGAAAAAUUAGCGGAUGACCUGUGGCUGGGGGUGAAAGGCCAAUCAAACCGGGAGAUAGCUGGUUCUCCCCGAAAGCUAUUUAGGUAGCGCCUCGUGAAUUCAUCUCCGGGGGUAGAGCACUGUUUCGGCUAGGGGGCCAUCCCGGCUUACCAACCCGAUGCAAACUGCGAAUACCGGAGAAUGUUAUCACGGGAGACACACGGCGGGUGCUAACGUCCGUCGUGAAGAGGGAAACAACCCAGACCGCCAGCUAAGGUCCCAAAGUCAUGGUUAAGUGGGAAACGAUGUGGGAAGGCCCAGACAGCCAGGAUGUUGGCUUAGAAGCAGCCAUCAUUUAAAGAAAGCGUAAUAGCUCACUGGUCGAGUCGGCCUGCGCGGAAGAUGUAACGGGGCUAAACCAUGCACCGAAGCUGCGGCAGCGAACGUAUCACUUAAAGCGAUUCAGCGGAUGACGAUUGACGGAGCGAAGCGACGUCAAAGCGUAUACAAAGUCGAGUCGGUUUAAGGAUACGUUCGUUGGGUAGGGGAGCGUUCUGUAAGCCUGCGAAGGUGGCCUGUGAGGGUUGCUGGAGGUAUCAGAAGUGCGAAUGCUGACAUAAGUAACGAUAAAGCGGGUGAAAAGCCCGCUCGCCGGAAGACCAAGGGUUCCUGUCCAACGUUAAUCGGGGCAGGGUGAGUCGACCCCUAAGGCGAGGCCGAAAGGCGUAGUCGAUGGGAAACGGGUUAAUAUUCCCGUACUUGGUGUUACUGCGAAGGGGGGACGGAGAAGGCUAUGUUGGCCGGGCGACGGUUGUCCCGGUUUAAGCGUGUAGGUGUGUGUUCCAGGUAAAUCCGGUUCACUUUAACACUGAGGCGUGACGACGAGGCACUACGGUGCUGAAGCAACAAAUGCCCUGCUUCCAGGAAAAGCCUCUAAGCAUCAGGUAACAUCAAAUCGUACCCCAAACCGACACAGGUGGUCAGGUAGAGAAUACCAAGGCGCUUGAGAGAACUCGGGUGAAGGAACUAGGCAAAAUGGUGCCGUAACUUCGGGAGAAGGCACGCUGACAUGUAGGUGAAGUGAUUUACUCACGGAGCUGAAGUCAGUCGAAGAUACCAGCUGGCUGCAACUGUUUAUUAAAAAACACAGCACUGUGCAAACACGAAAGUGGACGUAUACGGUGUGACGCCUGCCCGGUGCCGGAAGGUUAAUUGAUGGGGUCAGCGCAAGCGAAGCUCCUGAUCGAAGCCCCGGUAAACGGCGGCCGUAACUAUAACGGUCCUAAGGUAGCGAAAUUCCUUGUCGGGUAAGUUCCGACCUGCACGAAUGGCGUAAUGAUGGCCAGGCUGUCUCCACCCGAGACUCAGUGAAAUUGAACUCGCUGUGAAGAUGCAGUGUACCCGCGGCAAGACGGAAAGACCCCGUGAACCUUUACUAUAGCUUGACACUGAACAUUGAGCCUUGAUGUGUAGGAUAGGUGGGAGGCUUUGAAGUGUGGACGCCAGUCUGCAUGGAGCCGACCUUGAAAUACCACCCUUUAAUGUUUGAUGUUCUAACGUGGACCCGUAAUCCGGGUUGCGGACAGUGUCUGGUGGGUAGUUUGACUGGGGCGGUCUCCUCCUAAAGAGUAACGGAGGAGCACGAAGGUUGGCUAAUCCUGGUCGGACAUCAGGAGGUUAGUGCAAUGGCAUAAGCCAGCUUGACUGCGAGCGUGACGGCGCGAGCAGGUGCGAAAGCAGGUCAUAGUGAUCCGGUGGUUCUGAAUGGAAGGGCCAUCGCUCAACGGAUAAAAGGUACUCCGGGGAUAACAGGCUGAUACCGCCCAAGAGUUCAUAUCGACGGCGGUGUUUGGCACCUCGAUGUCGGCUCAUCACAUCCUGGGGCUGAAGUAGGUCCCAAGGGUAUGGCUGUUCGCCAUUUAAAGUGGUACGCGAGCUGGGUUUAGAACGUCGUGAGACAGUUCGGUCCCUAUCUGCCGUGGGCGCUGGAGAACUGAGGGGGGGCUGCUCCUAGUACGAGAGGACCGGAGUGGACGCAUCACUGGUGUUCGGGUUGUCAUGCCAAUGGCACUGCCCGGUAGCUAAAUGCGGAAGAGAUAAGUGCUGAAAGCAUCUAAGCACGAAACUUGCCCCGAGAUGAGUUCUCCCUGAGACUUAGAGUCUCCUGAAGGAACGUUGAAGACGACGACGUUGAUAGGCCGGGUGUGUAAGCGCAGCGAUGCGUUGAGCUAACCGGUACUAAUGAACCGUGAGGCUUAACCUU